rnacentral:rRNA from 1 species
GACGAACGCUGGCGGCGCGCUUAACACAUGCAAGUCGAGCGAGAACCAGGGCUUCGGCCCUGGGGACAGCGGCGAAAGGGUAAGUAACACGUGGGUAAUCUGCCCUCGGCAUCGGGAUAGCCCGGGGAAACCCGGAUUAAUACCGAAUAGCCUCCGGAGCUCUCGGGCGCCGGAGAAAAGGUAGCUUCGGCCUCUGGCCGAGGAUGAGCCCGCGGCGGAUUAGCUUGUUGGCGGGGUAACGGCCCACCAAGGCGACGAUCCGUAGCUGGUCUGAGAGGACGAUCAGCCACACUGGGACUGAGACACGGCCCAGACUCCUACGGGAGGCAGCAGUGGGGAAUCUUGCGCUAAUGCGGGAAACCGUGACGCAGCGACGCCGCGUGGGGGAAGAAGGCCUUCGGGUUGUAAACCUCUUUCAGGAGGGACGAAGCUACUCGGGUGAAUAGCCCAGAGGGUGACGGUACCUCCAGAAGAAGCCCCGGCUAACUACGUGCCAGCCGCCGCGGUAACAC